rnacentral:rRNA from 1 species
UACGUAGGGUGCAAGCGUUAAUCGGAAUUACUGGGCGUAAAGCGUGCGCAGGCGGUUUUGUAAGUCUGACGUGAAAUCCCCGGGCUCAACCUGGGAAUUGCGUUGGAGACUGCAAGGCUAGAAUCUGGCAGAGGGGGGUAGAAUUCCACGUGUAGCAGUGAAAUGCGUAGGGAUGUGGAGGAACACCGAUGGCGAAGGCAGCCCCCUGGGUCAAGAUUGACGCUCAUGCACGAAAGCGUGGGGAGCAAACAGG